rnacentral:lncRNA from 14 species
CUGGAGCAGCACGCGGACGGGCGAUGGAAGGGCUGCAUCCACGACAACCGCACCGGCAACGACCGCGUGGGAUACUUCCCCUCCAGCCUCGUCGAGGCCAUAAGCAAACGAACAGGUUCAUGGGAGACUGUAACAAUCCCCCAACACUUCCAAAAGAUCCCGCUCCCGGCUUACGGGGCUGCUGUGCUAAACGGUGACGCCUCGUCCCAUCCGUUCCAUUCCCUGCCUCCACCUCCACCUCCACCACCACAUUCCCAUCCGACUCUUUUCAGUUCCUUUGGCUAUCACAGGCUCUCCCCUAGCAGUGCCGACGAGCCGCGUUACGGACAAGGGUCCCGCGGGGCCGACAUGAGCCCGUCCCACCUGUCCCCGUCGCAGGGCGGAUCGGCCACGGCAGCCCCCGCCGAGGAGAUCUGGGUGCUGCGGAAACCCUUCGCAGGUGGUGACCGCAGCAGCCUGGGCAGCACGGGCAGCGUGGCCUCGGCGCGCAGCUCGGGGAGCGGGCAGAGCGCGGGCAGCGGGGCGCACGCCCUGCACGCCGGCUCCGAGGGCGUCAAGGUAAGGAGAGCCCCGGGGCAGCCGUGCCAGCUGCUGCUGGCUGCACUCCUGCAGCGUCCGCUGCCUGCCCUGACCUCAGCCGGUGCUUCACUGGGUGCUGGGCAGUCUCAUCGAUACCCUGUGUGCCACCAGCUACGCUGUCACCAACAGCGGCCACCAGCGUGUCCCCUCCAGCUGGCCCCUGAGUGCUGCCUGGGCCACCUGGGCUCAGCCCCUGCAAAACAUUCCACAGG